rnacentral:lncRNA from 1 species
GGUAUUUUUGGAUAAGACUAGCAAUUGAAUAGGUAUGCUGAAUCAAGCAGAUUGUCCUCCCUAAUGUGGAUGGGCCUCAUCCAAUGAACUGAAGACCUGAAUAGAACAAAAAGGCCAAGCAAAAGGGGACUUCACCUGCCUGGCUGUGUAUACAUAUACAUAUACACAUGCACAUAUACAUACAAAUACGUAUAAGAGAGAGCGAGAGAGAGGUCGAUCUUAUUGGUUCUGUUUCUCUGGAGAACCCUGACUAAUACACCCACACACAAUGUUAAAGCUAAAGGGAACAGAUGAAUCUUCUCCCUACUGGCUGGUGGAUAGAACCUAGGAACGUGACCUCAGCUUUGCCAAUCAAAUGCUCCCACUGAGCCCUGGUGGGAUUGAGAGACCAAAGCAAAAAGCCAAACAGCCAGUGAUGAUUUUGCAGUGACUGCAGCAGAAUCAAGAAUUGAGAGUCCAGUGGCAUGUGGCUAAGCAGCCAUGGGUGGUGGAACCCAGCAGCCAAGCUUCCAGCAUCCAUGGUUACAAUGCCAACCUCGAUGACAUCAGAAACAUAAACGCUGGCAGGGUCUUGACCACAGCUUGCUUCCCUUGAUCCCAACCUUCCUGGCAGUCUGCUUAAUUUGCUGCAACUGGUUUCUAUUUCCCAGCAGGCUAUGGGAACUCACUAAAUAAUGAAAGCUGACUGCACAUCGACAGUGUAUGAGCCUGGAGAGGGUUCUCUCUCUUGUAGGAGAGGGGAACCACAUCUAAACAGUCAUGGCUGCAGAGAAGGAAUGUUCACAUUCAGGGUCUGGAACCUGCGGAAAAGUGAGCAAAAAUACUUUUUGAAUGAAGGAAACCACCUAUAUCUGCUCAAGCAAUACAGACAUUUAUUUUCAGUUUCCCCUUUCAAAGGAAAAAUGCCAGAUCCAUGA